rfam:Wallemia ichthyophaga EXF-994 unplaced genomic scaffold scaffold27, whole genome shotgun sequence.
GCGUCUUUAGCUAAACGGUCAAAGCGUCCAUCUACGAAAUGGGAGAAUUACGGUUCGAUUCCGUAAAGGCGUU